CCUACGGGGGGCUGCAGUGGGGAAUAUUGGACAAUGGGGGGAACCCUGAUCCAGCCAUGCCGCGUGUGUGAAGAAGGCCCUCGGGCUGUAAAGCACUUUCAGUGAGGAAGAACACCUGGUGGUUAAUACCCAUCAGGAAAGACAUCACUCACAGAAGAAGCACCGGCUAACUCCGUGCCAGCAGCCGCGGUAAUACGGAGGGUGCGAGCGUUAAUCGGAAUUACUGGGCGUAAAGCGCGCGUAGGUGGCUUGAUAAGCCGGGUGUGAAAGCCCCGGGCUCAACCUGGGAACGGCAUCCGGAACUGUCAAGCUAGAGUGCAGGAGAGGAAGGUAGAAUUCCCGGUGUAGCGGUGAAAUGCGUAGAGAUCGGGAGGAAUACCAGUGGCGAAGGCGGCCUUCUGGACUGACACUGACACUGAGGUGCGAAAGCGUGGGUAGCAAACAGGAUUAGAUACCCUAGUAGUC
rnacentral:rRNA from 1 species